CCAAAAAGUAUUAUCAUGAUUGUCAUAACAGAUUACUUCCCCUUAUUGUGAGUGUUGCUCCUCAUCAGAGCACAUGGCUUGUCACUGCCUCCAUGUUGGAGACAUUCAGCUGUUGUAGUUGGCAUGAACACAAAUUUUUCUGAACCUCACCAAGCCAAAGAAAGAAGUCAAAGUGAAAUUGAACGUAUACCAGAAUAAAUUAUUGGUGCGAGUAAA
rnacentral:lncRNA from 1 species